rnacentral:lncRNA from 10 species
GCAGAGCCACCGGCCGGUCGAAACCCGACCCCAUGGCGAAGCCAGGCAGCCGGCGAGGGGCAGUCUCCCGCUCUGGGGUCCUUUAGUAAAUCCAGACCCGACCUCCCUGUGGUCAGGGCUGUGACUGAGGUGGUCCUGUGGGGGAAGGGGGCUUCCCGCCUGCACCAGGCCUGCAAGCAUUUAAGUGGCAACCGGUUGGGGAUCAGAAAACGGGCUCAGAGAGGUCAAGGUGACACUGGCCAGCAAAUGUCACUACACUGUGCAGCCUGUUCCUGCUUGCCAGGAAAAAAACAAGCGUCAAAGGAUGGAGACUCCUAGAAUUCAAAACACUCAUCCAGCUUAUUUUAUGAAGUUUCUGGAGAUGGGGAGGAUUCAGGCAUUUAAAAAGGUAUAGGGGAGGAGAGGAAAGGUGGAAAUGGAUGGGGUGCAGAAGUUUUACACUAACAUGGAG